rnacentral:sRNA from 1 species
GCCAGGCGUGGUGAUGCACGCCUGUGAUCCCAGCAGCCUAGGAGGCUGAGGCAAGAGGAUGGAGAGUUCAAAGCCAGACUCAGGAACCACAAAAUGCUAAGCAACUCAGUGAGACCCUGUCUCUA